rnacentral:rRNA from 1 species
UACAUGGGUGUGCAAACGUUGCUCGGAAUUAUUGGGCGUAAAGCGCACGUAGGCGGUUCGUUAAGUCGGAUGUGAAAGCCCUCGGCUCAACUGAGGAAGUGCACCCGAAACUGGCGAGCUUGAGUACGAAAGAGGAUCGCGGAAUUCCCGGUGUAGAGGUGAAAUUCGUAGAUAUCGGGAGGAACACCGGUGGCGAAGGCGGCGAUCUGGGUCGAUACUGACGCUGAGGUGCGAAAGCGUGGGGAGCAAACAGG